rnacentral:rRNA from 1 species
GAUGAACGCUGGCGGCGUGCCUAACACAUGCAAGUCGAACGAAGCGCCUUACCGGAUUCUUCGGAUGAGGGGCGGGAGGCGGAGUGGCGGACGGGUGAGUAACGCGUGGGUAACCCGCACGGUACAGGGGGAUAACAGAUGGAAACGGCUGCUAAUACCGCAUAAGCGCACGCGGAGACAUCUCAUGGUGUGAAAAACUCCGGUGGUACAGGUUGGGCCCGCGUCUGAUUAGCUGGUUGGCAGGGUAACGGCCUACCAAGGCAACGAUCAGUAGCCGGUCUGAGAGGGUGAUCGGCCACAUUGGAACUGAGACACGGUCCAAACUCCUACGGGAGGCAGCAGUGGGGAAUAUUGCACAAUGGGGGAAACCCUGAUGCAGCAACGCCGCGUGAGUGAAGAAGUCUUUCGGUAUGUAAAGCUCUAUCAGCAGGGAAGAUAAUGACGGUACCUGACGAAGAAGCUCCGGCUAACUACGUG